UACGAAGGGGGCUAGCGUUGUUCGGAAUUACUGGGCGUAAAGGGCGCGUAGGCGGCGUGUCAAGUCAGGCGUGAAAGCCCCGGGCUCAACCUGGGAACCGCGCUUGAGACUGGCAUGCUCGAGUUCGGGAGAGGAUGGUGGAAUUCCCAGUGUAGAGGUGAAAUUCGUAGAUAUUGGGAAGAACACCGAUGGCGAAGGAAGCCAUCUGGACCGACACUGACGCUGAGGCGCGAAAGCGUGGGGAGCAAACAGG
rnacentral:rRNA from 1 species